rnacentral:rRNA from 1 species
UGGGGAAUAUUGGACAAUGGGCGCAAGCCUGAUCCAGCAAUGCCGCGUGAGUGAUGAAGGCCUUAGGGUUGUAAAGCUCUUUCGCACGCGACGAUGAUGACGGUAGCGUGAGAAGAAGCCCCGGCUAACUUCGUGCCAGCAGCCGCGGUAAUACGAAGGGGGCUAGCGUUGUUCGGAAUUACUGGGCGUAAAGGGCGUGUAGGCGGCGUUUCAAGUUAGGCGUGAAAGCCCCGGGCUCAACCUGGGAAUUGCGUUUGAUACUGUUAUGCUAGAGGUCGGGAGAGGUGAGUGGAAUUCCCAGUGUAGAGGUGAAAUUCGUAGAUAUUGGGAAGAACACCGGUGGCGAAGGCGGCUCACUGGACCGAUACUGACGCUGAGACGCGAAAGCGUGGGGAGCAAACAGGAUUAGAUACCCCCGUAGUCC